AUUUUCAACUUUCAGUGUCAUUUCAAAUUUCAGAAAAUAAGUGUGGAAAACAGGCUGAUGACAGCUUUGUGACAUCCACCCCUCUGCCUCUGAGUGCCUUUUAUCCAACAGGAAAACAAAGCAUUCAGUUAAGGAAGACUGGAAAAAUUAAGCCUGAAUCUCUCAUUGACCUAAAACCCAACCUCCAGGAGUAAGCAGCAGCUUCCACAUCAUCCAUUCACUAUUCAUUGUCCUUCCUAAUGAGAACAACAUUAGACUUCUACCUCAACACGACUGAAAUGAUUUCACGAAAAGAGGAGAAUCAUUAUUUUCCAUCAGUUCAUUUAGCAGUGGCUGAAAGUUUCUUCUAGUAAACACAAGGAUCAGUCUCUGCUCUGAAGAAUCAAGUAAGUACAAAAACGCAGUGGCAUCUUUUAUGCAAAGCAU